rnacentral:tRNA from 1 species
UAGGUAAUUAGUUCAACGGUAGAAUGGUGGAUUCCAACCCCGCUGAUGUGAGUUCGAUUCUUACAUUACCUGU